rnacentral:rRNA from 2 species
AUUGAACGCUGGCGGAAUGCUUUACACAUGCAAGUCGAACGGUAGAGGGGGCAACCCCUCGAGAGUGGCGAACGGGUGAGUAAUAUAUCGGAACGUGCCCAGUCGUGGGGGAUAACGUAGCGAAAGUUACGCUAAUACCGCAUACGAUCUAUGGAUGAAAGCGGGGGACUCGCAAGAGCCUCGCGCGAUUGGAGCGGCCGAUAUCAGAUUAGGUAGUUGGUGGGGUAAAGGCUCACCAAGCCAACGAUCUGUAGCUGGUCUGAGAGGACGACCAGCCACACUGGAACUGAGACACGGUCCAGACUCCUACGGGAGGCAGCAGUGGGGAAUUUUGGACAAUGGACGCAAGUCUGAUCCAGCCAUUCCGCGUGCAGGAUGAAGGCCCUCGGGUUGUAAACUGCUUUUGUACGGAACGAAAAGGUUUCUCUUAAUACGGGGAGCUCAUGACGGUACCGUAAGAAUAAGCACCGGCUAACUACGUGCCAGCAGCCGCGGUAAUACGUAGGGUGCAAGCGUUAAUCGGAAUUACUGGGCGUAAAGCGUGCGCAGGCGGUUAUGUAAGACAGAGGUGAAAUCCCCGGGCUCAACCUGGGAACUGCCUUUGUGACUGCAUAGCUAGAGUACGGUAGAGGGGGAUGGAAUUCCGCGUGUAGCAGUGAAAUGCGUAGAUAUGCGGAGGAACACCGAUGGCGAAGGCAAUCCCCUGGACCUGUACUGACGCUCAUGCACGAAAGCGUGGGGAGCAAACAGGAUUAGAUACCCUGGUAGUCCACGCCCUAAACGAUGUCAACUGGUUGUUGGGUCUUCACUGACUCAGUAACGAAGCUAACGCGUGAAGUUGACCGCCUGGGGAGUACGGCCGCAAGGUUG